AGUAACGCGUGGGUAACCUGCCUCAUACAGGGGGAUAACAAGUUAGAAAUGACUGCUAAUACCGCAUAAGCGCACAGUGCUGGCAUGGCACAGUGUGAAAAACUCCGGUGGUAUGAGAUGGACCCGCGUCUGAUUAGCUAGUUGGUGGGGUAACGGCCUACCAAGGCGACGAUCAGUAGCCGGCCUGAGAGGGUGAACGGCCACAUUGGGACUGAGACACGGCCCAA
rnacentral:rRNA from 1 species